rnacentral:rRNA from 1 species
AGCGAACGCUGGCGGCAGGCUUAACACAUACAAGUCGAGCGGGCACCUUCGGGUGUCAGCGGCAGACGGGUGAGUAACACGUGGGAACGUACCCUUCGGUUCGGAAUAACGCUGGGAAACUAGCGCUAAUACCGGAUACGCCCUUAUGGGGAAAGGUUUACUGCCGAAGGAUCGGCCCGCGUCUGAUUAGCUAGUUGGUGGGGUAACGGCCUCCCAAGGCGACGAUCAGUAGCUGGUCUGAGAGGAUGAUCAGCCACACUGGGACUGAGACACGGCCCAGACUCCUACGGGAGGCAGCAGUGGGGAAUAUUGGACAAUGGGCGCAAGCCUGAUCCAGCCAUGCCGCGUGAGUGAUGAAGGCCUUAGGGUUGUAAAGCUCUUUUGUCCGGGACGAUAAUGACGGUACCGGAAGAAUAAGCCCCGGCUAACUUCGUG